rnacentral:rRNA from 1 species
GAUGAACGCUAGCGGCAGGCUUAAUACAUGCAAGCCGAGGGGCAGCGCAGUGUAGCAAUACAUGGGCGGCGACCGGCAAACGGGUGCGGAACACGUACGCAACCUUCCGUUAAGUGGGGGAUAGCCCAGGGAAACUUGGAUUAAUACCCCGUAAUAUUAUGAAGUGGCAUCACUUUAUACUUAUAGCUCCGGCGCUUAACGAUGGGCGUGCGACUGAUUAGGUAGUUGGCGGGGUAACGGCCCACCAAGCCUGCGAUCAGUAACUGGUGUGAGAGCACGACCAGUCACACGGGCACUGAGACACGGGCCCGACUCCUACGGGAGGCAGCAGUAAGGAAUAUUGGUCAAUGGACGCAAGUCUGAACCAACCAUGCCGCGUGGAGGAUGAAGGUCCUCUGGAUUGUAAACUUCUUUUAUUUGGGAAGAAACCCACUGUUUCUACGGUGGUUGACGGUACCAGAUGAAUAAGCACCGGCUAACUCCGUGCCAGCCGCCGCUGUAA